AACGAACGCUGGCGGCAUGCCUAACACAUGCAAGUCGAACGAGAUCUUCGGGUCUAGUGGCGCACGGGUGCGUAACGCGUGGGAAUCUGCCCUUUGGUUCGGAAUAACAGUUGGAAACGACUGCUAAUACCGGAUGAUGACGAAAGUCAAAAGAUUUAUCGCCAGGGGAUGAGCCCGCGUAGGAUUAGUUAGUUGGUGUGGUAAAGGCGCACCAAGGCGACGAUCCUUAGUUGGUCUGAGAGGAUGAUCAGCCACACUGGGACUGAGACACGGCCCAGACUCCUACGGGAGGCAGCAGUGGGGAAUAUUGGACAAUGGGCGAAAGCCUGAUCCAGCAAUGCCGCGUGAGUGAUGAAGGCCUUAGGGUUGUAAAGCUCUUUUACCCGGGAUGAUAAUGGCAGUACCGGGAGAAUAAGCUCCGGCUAACUCCGUGCCAGCCGCCGCCGUAA
rnacentral:rRNA from 1 species